AAAUGUGUUUCAUGUUUGCAAAUGAAAUAUGAGACAAUAUCAAAUGCCAAAUGUAAUUCAUGUCAGUGGUAACAACAUUAUUACAGAUGGAACUAUUCACAGUUGAAGGUAAAGCAACAACUUUAUGGCUAGAACAGUCAUGAUUACAAGAAUCAGAAGAAGAAGAACAUACAGAAGCAGAAGAACAACAAUUAGAAGAAGAAGAGGAAGUUGGCACCCAAGCAAAAUUGUACAGACCAGCCACCUCUUUAC
rnacentral:lncRNA from 1 species